rnacentral:tRNA from 1 species
GUCAGGAUGGUUGACUGGUCUAAGGCGCUAGGCUCAAGUUUUAGUAGGGCGUGGGUUCAAGUCCCACUUCUGACA